UGCGUAGGCGGUCCGGGAAGUUGGGUGUGAAAGCCCUCGGCUCAACCGAGGAAUUGCGCCCAAAACUGCCGGGCUCGAGGGAGACAUAGGUGAGCGGAACUUAGGGUGGAGCGGUGAAAUGCGUUGAGAUCCUAAGGAACACCAGUAGCGAAAGCGGCUCACUGGGUCUCUUCUGACGCUGAAGCACGAAAGCUAGGGGAGCGAAGA
rnacentral:rRNA from 1 species